rnacentral:rRNA from 1 species
GAUGAACGCUAGCGGCAGGCCUAAUACAUGCAAGACGAACGGUAAGUUGAGUAGCAAUACUUAGCCAAGAGUGUCGUACGGGUGCGUAACACGUAUGCAACCUACCCUAUACAGGAGGAUAGCCUAGGGAAACCUGGAUUAACCCUUCAUAGUAUUAUUGGAUGGCACCAUUUGAUAAUUAAAACUGAGGUGGUAUAGGAUGGGCAUGCGUCUGAUUAGUUAGUUGGCGGGGUAAUGGCCCACCAAGACGAUGAUCAGUAGGGGUUCUGAGAGGAAGAUCCCCCACACUGGCACUGAGAUACGGGCCAGACUCCUACGGGAGGCAGCAGUAGGGAAUAUUGGUCAAUGGAUGCAAGUCUGAACCAGCCAUGCCGCGUGCAGGAAGAAGGCCUUCUGGGUUGUAAACUGCUUUUGCCAGGGGAUAAAAUUUCCAUGCGUGGAAAACUGAAGGUACCUGGUGAAUAAGCCACGGCUAACUACGUGCCAGCAGCCG